rnacentral:rRNA from 1 species
UUACGAUUGACGGAGCGAAGCGACGUCAAAGCGUAUACAAAGUCGAGUCGGUUUAAGGAUACGUUCGUUGGGUAGGGGAGCGUUCUGUAAGCCUGUGAAGGUGUGUCGUGAGGCAUGCUGGAGGUAUCAGAAGUGCGAAUGCUGACAUAAGUAACGAUAAAGCGGGUGAAAAGCCCGCUCGCCGGAAGACCAAGGGUUCCUGUCCAACGUUAAUCGGGGCAGGGUGAGUCGACCCCUAAGGCGAGGCCGAAAGGCGUAGUCGAUGGGAAACGGGUUAAUAUUCCCGUACUUGGUGUUACUGCGAAGGGGGGACGGAGAAGGCUAUGUUGGCCGGGCGACGGUUGUCCCGGUUUAAGCGUGUAGGUGUGUGUUCCAGGUAAAUCCGGUUCACUUUAACACUGAGGCGUGACGACGAGGCACUACGGUGCUGAAGCAACAAAUGCCCUGCUUCCAGGAAAAGCCUCUAAGCAUCAGGUAACAUCAAAUCGUACCCCAAACCGACACAGGUGGUCAGGUAGAGAAUACCAAGGCGCUUGAGAGAACUCGGGUGAAGGAACUAGGCAAAAUGGUGCCGUAACUUCGGGAGAAGGCACGCUGACACGUAGGUGAAGUGAUUUACUCAUGGAGCUGAAGUCAGUCGAAGAUACCAGCUGGCUGCAACUGUUUAUUAAAAACACAGCACUGUGCAAACACGAAAGUGGACGUAUACGGUGUGACGCCUGCCCGGUGCCGGAAGGUUAAUUGAUGGGGUCAGCGCAAGCGAAGCUCCUGAUCGAAGCCCCGGUAAACGGCGGCCGUAACUAUAACGGUCCUAAGGUAGCGAAAUUCCUUGUCGGGUAAGUUCCGACCUGCACGAAUGGCGUAAUGAUGGCCAGGCUGUCUCCACCCGAGACUCAGUGAAAUUGAACUCGCUGUGAAGAUGCAGUGUACCCGCGGCAAGACGGAAAGACCCCGUGAACCUUUACUAUAGCUUGACACUGAACAUUGAGCCUUGAUGUGUAGGAUAGGUGGGAGGCUUUGAAGUGUGGACGCCAGUCUGCAUGGAGCCGACCUUGAAAUACCACCCUUUAAUGUUUGAUGUUCUAACGUGGACCCGUGAUCCGGGUUGCGGACAGUGUCUGGUGGGUAGUUUGACUGGGGCGGUCUCCUCCUAAAGAGUAACGGAGGAGCACGAAGGUUGGCUAAUCCUGGUCGGACAUCAGGAGGUUAGUGCAAUGGCAUAAGCCAGCUUGACUGCGAGCGUGACGGCGCGAGCAGGUGCGAAAGCAGGUCAUAGUGAUCCGGUGGUUCUGAAUGGAAGGGCCAUCGCUCAACGGAUAAAAGGUACUCCGGGGAUAACAGGCUGAUACCGCCCAAGAGUUCAUAUCGACGGCGGUGUUUGGCACCUCGAUGUCGGCUCAUCACAUCCUGGGGCUGAAGUAGGUCCCAAGGGUAUGGCUGUUCGCCAUUUAAAGUGGUACGCGAGCUGGGUUUAGAACGUCGUGAGACAGUUCGGUCCCUAUCUGCCGUGGGCGCUGGAGAACUGAGGGGGGCUGCUCCUAGUACGAGAGGACCGGAGUGGACGCAUCACUGGUGUUCGGGUUGUCAUGCCAAUGGCACUGCCCGGUAGCUAAAUGCGGAAGAGAUAAGUGCUGAAAGCAUCUAAGCACGAAACUUGCCCCGAG